GGGGCUGGACGGCAUCGUCAACCACAGGCUGCUCGGGGAGGAUGACCUCACGCGGGAGACUUCAAGGAGGUGGCGGGAGAGGACUCAGAACCUGUG
rnacentral:rRNA from 11 species